rnacentral:ribozyme from 1 species
CCCAAUUAGCUCGGUUAAUGGGGUAGGAUCCGAGACUCCUUUCGGGGUUACACAGGCUCUCCUACCCAACUCCUAUUCUGUCACGUCCUUGGUAACGUUCCCCACCACAUAUCCCAGCUUGGGUACACGGGCCUGUCCCAACCCCUUGGGCGGAUGGUGGAGCAAGGUUAAACAGGAGGUC